rnacentral:tRNA from 1 species
GGGGUUGUGGCUCAGUGGGAGAGUGCUCACCUAGCAUGUAUGAGGUACUGGGUUCGAUCUUCAGCACCACA